rnacentral:rRNA from 1 species
UACGUAGGGGGCAAGCGUUGUCCGGAUUUAUUGGGCGUAAAGAGCUCGUAGGCGGUUUGGUAAGUCUGGUGUGAAAUCUCCACGCUCAACGUGGAGGGGCCACCCGAUACUGCCAUGACUGGAGUCCGGUAGAGGAGUGUGGAAUUCCCGGUGUAGCGGUGAAAUGCGCAGAUAUCGGGAGGAACACCCGUAGCGAAGGCGGCACUCUGGGCCGGAACUGACGCUGAGACGCGAAAGCGUGGGGAGCGAACAGG